GCUGGGCAUGGUGGCGCACGCCUAUAAUCCCAGAGAGUCAGGAGACAGAGGUAGGAGGAUUGCAAGUUCAAGACCCACCUUAGCAACUUAGCAAGACCCUGUCUCAA
rnacentral:sRNA from 1 species